AGAAAACUUUGAAGAGGAGAAUUUUGCACAAAAUCGCAGGAGAAGUGCAAAUACUAACAAUGAAGAGAAUGAUGAUUCUGCAGAAUCAAAUAAUCAUCGAGUGCAAAGUGAUGAUGUAAUACUAAAUGAAUCUCGACAAGAAGCUGAUAAUUCUCAAAGGAAGAAAAAUCCACCUCGUGGUAGUAAUAAGUGUCUAAAGUUGAAUAAUUUGUCACAUGGGGAGAAAAAGAUCAUUACUUUUUAUCAGAAUAGAGCUAUUGAGCCAGAAUUUUCACGAUAUCU